rnacentral:rRNA from 1 species
ACGAAGGGUGCAAGCGUUAAUCGGAAUUACUGGGCGUAAAGGGUGCGUAGGCGGUUCGUUAAGUCUGUCGUGAAAUCCCCGGGCUCAACCUGGGAAUGGCGAUGGAUACUGGCGAGCUAGAGUGUGUCAGAGGAUGGUGGAAUUCCACGUGUAGCGGUGAAAUGCGUAGAGAUGUGGAGGAACACCAAUGGCGAAGGCAGCCUUCUGGGCCAACACUGACGCUCAUGCACGAAAGCCAGGGGAGCAAACGGGA